UCAUGCCAGUGCUCAUGAAGAUGGCACAGGGCUGGGCAAUGUUUGUUCUGUUAUACUUAAAGUCGCCAUGAGUCGGAGUUGACUGGAUGACAACAACAACAAAGUUUGAACAUCUAUCCCAAUCUAUAUGUAGUUAUAAAGCAUAACAAUGCCUACUUGACUAAAUAAAACAGCGACAAAAAUUUACCUUAUGUGUAAGAUAAAAAGAAAAUACGAAGUCUAUUAUUUUAUUUCAAAAAGUUUGGAUUACCUCUUGUACCCCACUUUACUAGCCCCUGCUCCCAGAAGUCAUGCGGCUUGGGUUUGAAUCCUGUCGUUGCCACCUUUUCACUGUGUGAUAAUGGGCAACUUCCUUGACCUCUCCAAGCUUCUGUUUCCUCAUCUGUAAAAUAAGUGUAAUAAACUAUCUGAGAAUAGUUGUGAGGGUUAAAUGACGUAAUUCAAGUAAGGCUCUUAACACCUCCAUGAUGACAGUCUUUUCUCCCACCCCCUCAAGACUUGAGUAUUAGAAUUUGAUCUCACUAGCUUUCUUCUUUAGUUGUGCUGAAAAUAGGUCCAGGUCUUUUUCACUGGAAAGACUUUACACAAUUUCCUUCAAGAGAUAGCUAGGUCCUACCAAUGAUGUUGACUGUGGGGAAGUCACACAGAUUUUAGAAACCUCCAUAUUUUUCAUAGGAAUUAUACUGGGUCUAGGAGUCCCUGGGUGGUGCAGACAGUUAAAUGCUAGACUACUUGUGGAAAGAUAAGCAGUUUGAACCCACCCAGAGGCACCUCAGGAGACAAGCCUAGCAGUCUGGUUCUGAAAAGGUCAUAGCCUUGAAACCCCUGUGGAGCAGUUCUACUGUGCACACGUGGCGUCACCAUGAGCUGAAAUCCGCUUGACUAAUAACAUACUGGGUCUGAAGUUCUUGCUUUCCUCUCUUAAUGGUACCUGAAAGCUUGUUAAGAGUAAAUUUCUCCCCACCUAAAGAUACUUAUAAUACUAAACUAUAUUGGUAACUGCAUUAGAGGCUGUUAAAGCACUUUACACAGUAACUAACAUCUCAGACCUCGCAAUCAUCAUGAUUAAGUACUAUUAUUGUCCCCAUUUUGUUAAAUAACUUGCCUAGGUUUUACAACUAGGAAGUUACGGAGCCAGGAUUCAAACUUAAAUACACUGUAUUUACUGUGUUAACCACUACCUGUGGUGCUUUUGAAGCUGCUGGGGGCAGGGACCUUGUUGGGUCGUGGUUGUAGCCUCAAGGCUAGAACAGCGCUUGCUGCAAAGUUUGGUGAAUUUAUGGAUGGACACAGAAGCAACACGGUUGCGUCCUCACAGGUAUGUAGAGUGGGCCCUGGAGGUGUCUACACUUCUCGUUAGUCUGCAAAUGUGUCAUCCAUGGGGCCUCACCUGUUAGCCUCGGCCGUUCCAAACACUCCGCCAAUUCCGGUUCUAGCCGCACCUCCUCAAGUCACUGCCAUCCGUUUCGCGUUCCAGAAUUUUGUCCCCAGCGCCGACCCGUCUCCCCGCCUACGCCGCUGCCAUGGCGGCAGCUCCGCCGCUCUCGAAGGCCGAGUAUCUGAAGCGUUACUUGUCUGGGGCAGACCUCGGCGUCGACGGAGUCCCCGAAUCCGGUCGCAAGCGUCGCAAAAAGCGGCCGAAGCCUGGAGGGGUCGCCGGCAAGGGAAUGCGGAUUGUGGAUGAUGAUGUGAGCUGGACAGCUAUCUCCACCACUAAACCGGAGAAGGAGGAAGAGGAAGAUGAUGGAGAUUUGCCUGUGGUGGCUGAGUUUGUGGAUGAGCGGCCGCAAGAGGUAAAGCAGAUGGAAGCCUUUCGUUCCAGUGACAAAUGGAAGCUUCUGGGAGGCCACAGUGAAGACCUAGCCUCACAUAGGCAUUUCCGUCAUGAUACCUCGGAUUCAUCUCCUCCCAGGAGGGUCCGUCAUGAUACCCCUGAUUCAUCUCCUCCCAGGAGGGUCCGUCAUGAUACCCCGGAUUCAUCUCCUCCUAGGAGGGUCCGUCAUGAUUCCCCAGAUCCAUCUCCUCCUAGGAGGAUCCGUCAUGAUUCCCCAGAUCCAUCUACCCCCAGGAGGGUCCGUCAUGACUCCUCAGACAUUUCACCACCCAGGAGGACCCGUCAUGAUUUCCCGGAUCCUUCUCCACCCAGGAAGCCUCCUCGUAAUUCUUCAGAUGUGUCUCCUAGGAAAGCUCGUCAUGACUCACCAGAUCCAUCUCCUCCUAGGAGGGCCCGUCACGAUUCCUCAGAUAUAUCUCCCCCCAGAAGGGCUCGUCAUGAUUCCCCCAAUUUGUCUGCUAAUGCACCUCAUUCACUGCCCAGAACCAAAAGCAGUAAAGCCCCAGAAAGAGGCUCUAGCAGGUCUUCUCCACAUAGGAAGGGGCCAGGACCUUCUCAUUCAUCACUCCCAAAGAACAGCAAACGUGAGUAUGCCUCAGACCUCUCUCCGCCACGAAAAAAGCCAGCAAAAUCCCAUUUUAGAAAUAAGCAGCAUGAUUCUAAAGGCUCUUCCCCCAGCCAUAGGAAAUUCCAUUUAAGUUCUUCACCUAGGAGACAUCAGGGUCACACCUUGGACUCUUCUUCCUACCCAAGUAACAGCUGGAAAGCCUCUGAUUCAGAUCUUUCUCCUCCACGGCAUAAACAUAAACAAAGUCCAGGGCACCAGGAUUCUGGUUCGGAUCUGUCGCCUCCACGGAAUAGACCUAGACAUCGGAGCUCUGAUUCUGACCUCUCUCCACCAAGAAGGAAACAGAGGACUAAAUCUUCUGAUUCAGAUCUGUCUCCACCUCGAAGGAGUCAGCCUUCUGGAAAGAAGGCUGCGCGCAUGUUUUCUGGGGCCAAAACUGGGUUGGUGUUAACUGAUAUACAGCGAGAGCAGCAGGAGCUCAAGAAACGGGACCAAGAAGCCAUGGAGUUUAAAGCUGAAUUCCAGUAUGCUGAAACUGUAUUUCGAGAUAAGUCUGGCCGUAAGAGGAACUUGAAAUUGGAACGUUUAGAGCAAAGGAGAAAAGCAGAGAAGGACACGGAGAGAGAUGAGCUGUAUGCCCAGUGGGGAAAAGGGCUUGCCCAGAGCCGCCAACAGCAACAAAAUGUGGAGGAUACAAUGAAGGAGAUGCAAAAGCCUCUGGCCCGCUAUAUUGAUGAUGAAGACCUGGAUCGGAUGCUGAGAGAACAAGAAAGAGAGGGGGACCCCAUGGCCAACUUCAUCAAAAAGAAUAAGGCCAAGGAGAACAAGAAUAAGAAAGUGAGACCUCGCUACAGUGGUCCAGCACCUCCUCCCAACAGGUUCAAUAUCUGGCCUGGAUAUCGCUGGGAUGGAGUGGACAGAUCAAAUGGAUUUGAGCAGAAGCGCUUUGCCAGACUUGCCAGCAAGAAGGCAGUGGAGGAACUUGCCUACAAGUGGAGUGUUGAGGAUAUGUAACUUUUCUGAGGCUGUGGGCAUAACUCCGGCUUGCAGUAGUAGGCAUUGGGCAGCCAGACAUCCAUCUGUUACAGUUGUCUGUGCCAGUAAUCAUGGCCCAUGUAGACCAGCAACUUGUUGAGUGCCAGUUUUGACCCUAGAAGAAUAUUUGGGAUCUGCCAUUUGGACUGAGGCACCUGUAUUUCUCAGGUGUGCCAACACUGGCUGUUGCUGGCUUUCAGAGGAAGCAUUGUUGCUGCCUCAGGGUUUGUUCUUGAAAUGAUGUGACUUCUGAGACCUUGGAUCACUUGCUUUGGGGGAAGCCAGCUGCCCUAUCGUGAGGACACUCAAGCAGCCCUCUGGAGAGGCCCAUGUGGAGAAGUACUGAGGCCUCUCACCAACAGCCAGCACCAAUUUGCCAACCAUGUGAGUGAGCCAUCUUGGAAGUGAACCCUCCAGCUCCAUUCAAGCCCUCAGCCCUGGGUGACAGCUUAACCACAACCCUAUGAGAGAUCCUGACCAGAACUGCUUUCAAAUUUUUGACCCAGAGAAACUGAUUUAAUAGAUGUUUUUUUUAAAAAUAAAUAAAACAGAUUUAUGGAGAUAAUAAUCAACAGACUAUACAAUUCAUCUAUUUAGUGUACAAUUCAGUGGUUUUUAGCAUAUUCAGAGUUGUACAGCUACCACCAGAAUCAAUUUUAGAAUUUUUCAUCACCCCAUGGACACAUUAGCAGCCCUAGGCAACCACUAACCUAUUUUCUGCCUCUAGAUUUGCCUCUUCUGGACAUUUCAUAUAUAUGGAAUCAUACAAUAUGUGGCCUUUUAUGUCUCGCUCCUUUCACUUGUCAUGUUUACAGAUUCAUCGUGUGUCAGUACUUCAUUCCUUUUUAUGGCUGAAUAAUUUUCCAUUGUGUGGACAUACCAUAUUUUAUUUAUCCACGUGACAGUUGAUGGCUAUUUGUUUCCAUUAUUUGGCUAUUAUCAAUAAUGUUGCUAUGAGCAGUCAUGUACCAGUGUUGGUGUAGAUGUAUGUUUUCGUUUCUCUUGGGUGUAUACCUAGGAGUGGAAUUACUUGGUUAUAUGGUAACUCUAUGUUUAACUUUUUGAUGAACUUUUCGUGCCAGUCUUUCCAAAGCAGCAUAUGAGAGUUCCAUUUGCUUCACAUUCUUGCUAACACUUGUUAUUAUCAGUCUUUGAUUAUAGCCAUCCUAGUGGAUGUGAAGUAUGGUUUUGAUUUGCACUUCCCGCAUGGGUAACAGUGUGUAUCUGCUUUGGAGAAAUGUCUAUUCAAAUGCUUUGGGUUGUUUUUCUUGUUGAGUUGUAAGAGUUCUUUAUAUACUCUGGAUACACAUACAUGAGUUGCAAAUAUUUUCUCUCAUUUUUUGGGUUCUUAUUUGUUUUACGGCACUAAGUUUUGGGUAAUUUGUUACACAGCAGCAGAUAGUACAUUAGGUAUGUACAUAAACUACAGGAAAGCAGUUCCACUCCUGGUUAUAACCUUUAGAGAAACUUGCACAAAUCCACAAGGAGUUGUAUAUAUAAGGAUGUUUAUGUAUAGGUUGGUAGCAAAAAGCUGGCAGUAACUUAUAUGUCCAUCACUAAGGGAAUAGAUAAGUAAAAUGUUGUAUAUGUAUGUGAUGGGGUAUUAUAAAAAGCAGUCAGAAAAUAGCUGUUAGGAAUUUAUUGACAUGAUAGGCCCCAGAUGAGGAAAAUAAGUGACAAUGAGAUUUAUAGCAAAAGUUAGCUAAGUAAAUGAAACACACAAAGCAACAUCGUUUAAGGAGGAUAUGUUUUAACUUACUAGAAUAGGGUCUUUUGAAGGGAAUAAA